AUGAAUGGCCUCGUGUACCCACUUAUCUGGGCCUGUUUACGCUUUUCCCAUUCGGCCCGAUUAAGGAGCAACCGUCCAGGUCGGCCUGCGGAGCAGCGGCCCGGUUACGGUUGGGACCUCUCACCGGUGAUCGGCAUCGUCGCCGUCUUCGUCACGUCCGGCGCAAUCUGCCGCUACCGUAUGUUUCUCGUGCUCUGUAGCAUGCCAGUAUGGCUGAGCUUUCCCGAUGGCAGCAUAGCUACCAUUAUAUAUGAAGAUGAUGUCCGCAUACCACACAAUGCUAGUUACAAAAAUAAGGUUUAA
rnacentral:rRNA from 1 species